rnacentral:rRNA from 1 species
GGCUUCGGCCUGGUGAAAGUGGCAGACGGGUGAGUAACGCGUGGGAACCUGCCCUGUGGUAGGGAAUAACCGUGGGAAACUGCGGCUAAUACCCUAUGAGUCCUUCGGGAGAAAGAUUUAUCGCCAUAGGAGGGGCCCGCGUCGGAUUAGGUAGUUGGUGGGGUAACGGCCUACCAAGCCUUCGAUCCGUAGCUGGUCUGAGAGGAUGAUCAGCCACACUGGGACUGAGAUACGGCCCAGACUCCUACGGGAGGCAGCAGUGGGGAAUAUUGGACAAUGGGGGCAACCCUGAUCCAGCAAUGCCGCGUGGAUGAUGAAGGCCUUCGGGUUGUAAAGUCCUUUCGGCGGGGAAGAUGAUGACGGUACCCGCAGAAGAAGCCCCGGCUAACUUCGUGCCAGCAGCCGCGGUAAUACGAAGGGGGCUAGCGUUGUUCGGAAUUACUGGGCGUAAAGGGCGCGUAGGCUGUGCUGUAAGUCAGGCGUGAAAGCCCCGGGCUCAACCUGGGAAUUGCGCUUGAUACUGCGGCGCUGGAAGGUGGGAGAGGAUGGCGGAAUUCCCAGUGUAGAGGUGAAAUUCGUAGAUAUUGGGAAGAACACCGGUGGCGAAGGCGGCCAUCUGGCCCACAUUGACGCUGAGC